rnacentral:tRNA from 1 species
UGCCCAGUCGUCUAACGGCAGGACAGCGGUUUCUGGUACCGCCGAUCGAGGUUCGAAUCCUUGCUGGGCAA